rnacentral:rRNA from 1 species
UACGGAGGAUCCAAGCGUUGUCCGGAUUUAUUGGGUUUAAAGGGUGCGUAGGCGGAUUUCUAAGUCAGAGGUGAAAGUUUGCAGCUUAACUGUAAAAUUGCCUUUGAAACUGGUAGUCUUGAGUACAGUUGAGGUGGGCGGAAUGUGUCAUGUAGCGGUGAAAUGCUUAGAUAUGAUACAGAACACCGAUUGCGAAGGCAGCUCACUAAACUGUAACUGACGCUGAGGCACGAAAGCGUGGGGAGCGAACAGGAUUAGAUACCCUAGUAGU